AUCCAGCUGACGAGUUCAAAAUAGGACGAGAUGCACGUUCUGAAU
rfam:Schistosoma mattheei strain Denwood, Zambia genome assembly, scaffold: SMTD_scaffold0005599